AAAGCUGCUUAUCAUCCAUGGACGAAAUGGUAAGAGAUUCGAUAUGAGUAUCCUUCUGAGUACGAGGCCUCGGCAACACUGAUGGCAGAUUUACCUUUUUGAAAUCGUCAAUGACAACCUCUACUCAUUGAAUCUCAGUCCUUUCAACCUCGGCCAGCCACCGACUCCUCACCUGAUUCUGAGUCUAUAGAUGGUAUUUGGUAACAAACGGGUCUGAUUGAUUAAGAGGAUCGAUUCAACAGAUGUUCUGAUUCAAAACACAAAGGGCUGAUUUCUCAGAUAGCCUGAGUUGGUAGCUGCUGCUAUCAGUUUUGAAUGUUCCAUUUUCCACAAGGUUCUAUAUGAUUGUCAACGUUUGAUUGAUAAUUUAUGACACUGAAUUGUUGAUAUUGUAAUGGCUGGGUUUUGUUGUUUUUAACUAUGUCUGGAGGACUUGAUCUACUGGGUAUUUAUUUGAACUAUUAUUUUUGUAUAUUCUUGUCAACCUUUCCAUUUUGUUUAAAAAAUAAAAAAAUAAAAGAAAAAAGGCAAGGGAUAUCAGGUCUUGUGUUUAAUUUGUGCUGAUGCAUUAUCUACACUGUGAACUUCAGUGAGGUGGGUAUGACCCUAUCAGCCUGAUUUAGUUAUAGAAAGUUAGAUGUGAAUAUAGAUAUGCCAUGCACUAAAUUCUUAUUUAUUUUUGUGAACUAUCGACUCCUUUGUUGAAAUGUACGUCAAUACUAAUUUUGAAAAGGUUUAUGAAAGAUAUAUCAUACAGUGACCUCUUUAAUAUCUUCAAGAAUGUAAAUGCAAGGUCAAAAACAAUAAGGUUCUUCAUAGGUAUGAUCAUAAAGACGUAUUUUUAUUUUACUGGUAAGUUUUAUCAAAUGUAUUUUAAACCUUGUGAUCCAUAUAUUAAUUGACGUGGGAGUUUAUUUAGUCUCAUUACUUGCUUAUUUAGUUCCGGUUCAACUUUUGCAAUUGCAUUUAUUGAUAUUAGUUCCAGUUCAACUUUUGCAAUUGCAUUUAUUGAUAAGUAGACAUUUAGAAUGGUUAUGCAGAGACGAAUCAAUUUAUACAUCGACUUGACGUUUUUCAUUGAAUCGAGUCGAAUUUUAUACUAUAGCCAUGUUUUACUAUAAUGAUCAUAUCAAACGGUGAAAUUUUCAUUUUGUGAAUUUACUCAUCGGAAUCACAGCAUACAUAUUAAUGUGGUAUAAUAUGUUU